CAGAAGGUGGGAGUGUGAGGUGCUGGACUGUCUAUACAUUUUAGGGAAAAGUCACUGUGCUCUCUAUUCUCUAGGCUAAUAUGGAGGUUAACCUCAGAAACACAUCAGCAACAAAACAACAACAAAACAAAACUGGGCUAAGACCCAAUUAAUUAGCAUGGUGUGGUGAUGACUUCCAUUUCAGAGCAGCAUUGCCAGUGAAGACGGAAGUGCACCCUUGGAUGGCCACCUGACAUUUUGACUUCACCUGGAAGCAGGAAGGGUCUAUGAAAACAGAUUUCAAUUAAUAAAGCAUCUGUUCAACUCUGAAAAAAAAAAAACAAAGGAAGCAUGCAUUUAAAAUUCUGUAUUAUUUGGAGAAAGAAGUAAGAUGACUUAUGGCAGAUUCAGCUGGGCCCCAAUGCAGAUUCCUAAGCCACAGAAGAGUUGCUCACACUGCCUUAAAGGGGACAGUAUACACAAACCGUGACAGUUUUCAGGUACAGUAUGCUCUGUCCUACCAUCCUGUAUUGGGUUGGUCAGCAAACUCUGGGGACGUGGGUGGAAAUUACCUGGAAG
rnacentral:lncRNA from 1 species